rnacentral:rRNA from 1 species
GACGAACGCUGGCGGCGUGCUUAACACAUGCAAGUCGAACGGAAAGGCCCUGCUUUUGUGGGGUGCUCGAGUGGCGAACGGGUGAGUAACACGUGAGUAACCUGCCCUUGACUUUGGGAUAACUUCAGGAAACUGGGGCUAAUACCGGAUAGGAGCUCCUGCUGCAUGGUGGGGGUUGGAAAGUUUCGGCGGUUGGGGAUGGGCUCGCGGCUUAUCAGCUUGUUGGUGGGGUAGUGGCUUACCAAGGCUUUGACGGGUAGCCGGCCUGAGAGGGUGACCGGCCACAUUGGGACUGAGAUACGGCCCAGACUCCUACGGGAGGCAGCAGUGGGGAAUAUUGCACAAUGGGCGGAAGCCUGAUGCAGCAACGCCGCGUGCGGGAUGACGGCCUUCGGGUUGUAAACCGCUUUCGCCUGUGACGAAGCGUGAGUGACGGUAAUGGGUAAAGAAGCACCGGCUAACUACGUGCCAGCAGCCGCGGUGAUACGUAGGGUGCGAGCGUUGUCCGGAUUUAUUGGGCGUAAAGGGCUCGUAGGUGGUUGAUCGCGUCGGAAGUGUAAUCUUGGGGCUUAACCCUGAGCGUGCUUUCGAUACGGGUUGACUUGAGGAAGGUAGGGGAGAAUGGAAUUCCUGGUGGAGCGGUGGAAUGCGCAGAUAUCAGGAGGAACACCAGUGGCGAAGGCGGUUCUCUGGGCCUUUCCUGACGCUGAGGAGCGGAAGCGUGGGGAGCGAACAGGCUUAGAUACCCUGGUAGUCCACGCUGUAAACGGUGGGUACUAGGUGUGGGGUCCAUUCCACGGGUUCCGUGCCGUAGCUAACGCUUUAAGUACCCCGCCUGGGGAGUACGGCCGCAAGGCUAAAACUCAAAGGAAUUGACGGGGCCCCGCACAAGCGGCGGAGCAUGCGGAUUAAUUCGAUGCAACGCGUAGAACCUUACCUGGGUUUGACAUGGAUCGGGAGUGCUCAGAGAUGGGUGUGCCUCUUUUGGGGUCGGUUCACAGGUGGUGCAUGGCUGUCGUCAGCUCGUGUCGUGAGAUGUUGGGUUAAGUCCCGCAACGAGCGCAACCCUUGUUCACUGUUGCCAGCACGUUAUGGUGGGGACUCAGUGGAGACCGCCGGGGUCAACUCGGAGGAAGGUGGGGAUGACGUCAAGUCAUCAUGCCCCUUAUGUCCAGGGCUUCACGCAUGCUACAAUGGCUGGUACAGAGAGUGGCGAGCCUGUGAGGGUGAGCGAAUCUCGGAAAGUCGGUCUCAGUUCGGAUUGGGGUCUGCAACUCGACCUCAUGAAGUCGGAGUCGCUAGUAAUCGCAGAUCAGCAACGCUGCGGUGAAUACGUUCCCGGGGCU